rnacentral:rRNA from 1 species
GGCGGACGGGUGAGUAACACGUUGGUACCUGCCCUCUAGUGGGGAAUAACUGGCCGAAAGGUCGGCUAAUACCGCAUGUGGUCGCAAGAUCAAAGCAGCAAUGCGCUAGAGGAGGGGCCUGCGUCUGAUUAGCUAGUUGGUAGGGUAAAGGCCUACCAAGGCGACGAUCAGUAGCUGGUUCGAGAGGAUGACCAGCCACACUGGGACUGAGAUACGGCCCAGACUCCUACGGGAGGCAGCAGUAAGGAAUCUUCCACAAUGGACGAAAGUCUGAUGGAGCAACGCCGCGUGCAGGAAGACGGCUUUCGGGUUGUAAACUGCUUUUACGAGUGAAGAUUAUGACGGUAGCUCGUGAAUAAGGACCGGCUAACUACGUGCCAGCAGCCGCGG